rnacentral:rRNA from 1 species
UGUACGGAACGAAACGGUCCUGGUUAAUACCUGGGGCUAAUGACGGUACCGUAAGAAUAAGCACCGGCUAACUACGUGCCAGCAGCCGCGGUAAUACGUAGGGUGCGAGCGGUAAUCGGAAUUACUGGGCGUAAAGCGUGCGCAGGCGGUUUUGUAAGACAGGCGUGAAAUCCCCGGGCUCAACCUGGGAAUUGCGCUGGUGACUGCAAGGCUGGAGUGCGGCAGAGGGGGAUGGAAUUCCGCGUGUAGCAGUGAAAUGCGUAGAUAUGCGGAGGAACACCGGUGGCGAAGGCAAUCCCCUGGGCCUGCACUGACGCUCAUGCACGAAAGCGUGGGGAGCAAACAG